GAAAGUCAAGGAAUACGAGUUGUUGAGAAGAAACUUCAGUGAGACUGGCUGCUUUGGUUUUGGUAUCCAGGAGCACAUCGAUCUUGGAAUUAAGUAUGAUCCUUCAACCGGUAUCUACGGUAUGGAUUUCUAUGUUGUUCUAGAGCGCCCAGGAUACCGUGUUGCUCGUCGACGUAGGUGCAAGUCUCGAGUUGGAAUUCAACACAGGGUCACAAAAGAGGACUCAAUGAAGUGGUUCCAGGUCAAAUAUGAAGGUGUUAUCCUUAACAAAUCUUCAAACAUUCAGUAAGUUGGAAUUUCCAGUGUUGGAUCAGUUUGUUUCCCCAACAAGUGUUAUGUUUUUUACCCAUUUUGUAGACCAACAAUUAUUACUAUUACUCUUUGAGGAGUUGAAAAGUUUUGGUGAAUUAAUGUUAUUUGGCAUAUCUGGAUAUGUUAGUUUGUUUUCAUUUGUUUUGCCAUGC
rnacentral:misc_RNA from 1 species